rnacentral:rRNA from 1 species
GGAAAGGCGCGCGAUACAGGGUGACAGCCCCGUACACAAAAAUGCACAUGCUGUGAGCUCGAUGAGUAGGGCGGGACACGUGGUAUCCUGUCUGAAUAUGGGGGGACCAUCCUCCAAGGCUAAAUACUCCUGACUGACCGAUAGUGAACCAGUACCGUGAGGGAAAGGCGAAAAGAACCCCGGCGAGGGGAGUGAAAAAGAACCUGAAACCGUGUACGUACAAGCAGUGGGAGCACGCUUAGGCGUGUGACUGCGUACCUUUUGUAUAAUGGGUCAGCGACUUAUAUUCUGUAGCAAGGUUAACCGAAUAGGGGAGCCGAAGGGAAACCGAGUCUUAACUGGGCGUUAAGUUGCAGGGUAUAGACCCGAAACCCGGUGAUCUAGCCAUGGGCAGGUUGAAGGUUGGGUAACACUAACUGGAGGACCGAACCGACUAAUGUUGAAAAAUUAGCGGAUGACUUGUGGCUGGGGGUGAAAGGCCAAUCAAACCGGGAGAUAGCUGGUUCUCCCCGAAAGCUAUUUAGGUAGCGCCUCGUGAAUUCAUCUCCGGGGGUAGAGCACUGUUUCGGCAAGGGGGUCAUCCCGACUUACCAACCCGAUGCAAACUGCGAAUACCGGAGAAUGUUAUCACGGGAGACACACGGCGGGUGCUAACGUCCGUCGUGAAGAGGGAAACAACCCAGACCGCCAGCUAAGGUCCCAAAGUCAUGGUUAAGUGGGAAACGAUGUGGGAAGGCCCAGACAGCCAGGAUGUUGGCUUAGAAGCAGCCAUCAUUUAAAGAAAGCGUAAUAGCUCACUGGUCGAGUCGGCCUGCGCGGAAGAUGUAACGGGGCUAAACCAUGCACCGAAGCUGCGGCAGCGACGCUGAUGCGUUGUUGGGUAGGGGAGCGUUCUGUAAGCCUGCGAAGGUGUGCUGUGAGGCAUGCUGGAGGUAUCAGAAGUGCGAAUGCUGACAUAAGUAACGAUAAAGCGGGUGAAAAGCCCGCUCGCCGGAAGACCAAGGGUUCCUGUCCAACGUUAAUCGGGGCAGGGUGAGUCGACCCCUAAGGCGAGGCCGAAAGGCGUAGUCGAUGGGAAACAGGUUAAUAUUCCUGUACUUGGUGUUACUGCGAAGGGGGGACGGAGAAGGCUAUGUUGGCCGGGCGACGGUUGUCCCGGUUUAAGCGUGUAGGCUGGUUUUCCAGGCAAAUCCGGAAAAUCAAGGCUGAGGCGUGAUGACGAGGCACUACGGUGCUGAAGCAACAAAUGCCCUGCUUCCAGGAAAAGCCUCUAAGCAUCAGGUAACAUCAAAUCGUACCCCAAACCGACACAGGUGGU